UAUUAUUGUGGUACAUUUGGUAUCCUGCAACUCAUCAGAGUGGUGCCCUCACAGGGAGUCCAAAAAUACAAGCAGCUGGUUUAUUUCAUAUCCACAAACCAGUUCUAUGAGUCUCCUAUCAGGAGCAGGUCUUUUGUACAGCUAAUGGAUCUUGGUGAUUCAAAACCAGGAUAAUGCAAGUGAUGUAAUUCACAGCUAUGUGUUGUUGUUGAAAAAAUGGUUUCCCCCCCAACUACGUAUUUGAGGACUGUAGCUAAAUCAGGAGAGACAGGGAAGAAUGAGGAUCAUAAGAUGACAUUAUUAUCCCUGCUCUGUCGCAGCAGUUCAACUUAGCAAAUCCUGGCUCAGGUACAACCUUGUUUGUAUCCUUCCGACAGACCUGUGGGCUUAAAUGUUAACAGCUGCAUGGCAAAGGAAAAGGGGCUUACCCCAGUGAAAAUGUUGCUAGCAUUUCUCUCCAAAAGCUCAUAGCUUUUUGAAGAUGGGGAAACGAGGAAUAUUUAACUCGAGGGAGGAUAGAAACUGAGAUUGCUGAACACCCAUCACUUUGCUUCUCCUGUGAUCUUGAUUUCUCAUUGCAGAAAACCAAAAGGCGGUGGUCGUUUCUGGCUUGUGUGGCGUUUUGCUCACGGCAAGUCUUUUCUUGAUCGGCCUCUUUCUGUUCACGUUUUAUAAGAGGAGGAAAACGCCGUCAAACCCAGGACACUUCGAGGCUGUAGAACCUGUACACGCAGAACCCCGAAAGGCAACCAACAUGAGUCUGAUCUACAGCAACAUUUUACCUCUGGUAGGUAUCGAACGCAGCUGUUAUUUUGGAUCUCCUUAGACCACCUGGCAGGACAAAGUUCCAAAUAGAGUAGUCCUAGAACGGGCUGGAAUUUUGAGCAUAUGUACAUUACUGAAACAGUGACAUCUACGCUGGCUUAGGCAUGUCAUGAGAAUGUCUGAUGGUUGGAUUCCAAAAGAUCUCCUGUAGGGAGAAUUAGUGCAGGGAAAUCGCCCCAGAGGGAGACCAUAGCUGUGAUACAAGGACAUCUGCAAGCGGGAUCUGAAGGCCUUAGGAAUGGACCU
rnacentral:lncRNA from 1 species